UUCACUCAAAUCUGUAUGGAGUUGAAACGUUCGCCUACGUUUGCCGCUAGGGGCACUGUUCUAUCCGCAUACAAAUUGAGUUA
rnacentral:pre_miRNA from 1 species